CUAACAUGCAAAGAGGACGAGACGUCCCUGAGCCAGCACACCAUACUCACAACUCUCCUGCUACUAUAGCUAACAUUACAACAACAGCAGCACAAACUAGAUGAGCCAUGGGCUGUGUACAAACACCAGAUUUUUUUUCAGUGCGCACACAGAACAGACAGCUAGUUGACCGUGAGGAAAUAAGUUUGGGCAUCCCAUUUUUAAAGACGCAGAGAAAGAGAGAAGGGGACUUCAGUUUAGUUUUCACUAUUUCACUAUUCCUGUAAAUACAAACAACAUAAUAAAUAUUACUAAUAUGCAGUAUAUCAAAAGUAUAGCUAUCUGUGAAGACCAACUUGUUCUUGCAUACUGUUUAAAUGCUAACAAUUUACAGAGUUGCCAGGAUAUUAGAUACACCUUGCAUUGUAAUUGGUAAAGGCAAAAACCAACUAAUUACACAGCCAUGCUCCACCUACACAGGUGUUGUCACUUACUGUACUUUGCCUAAUUAUACCUCUUCUCAGGACUGUGUUGGCAUUUAAAGACUGACAUCUCCCUGACACACUAUCUUUUUGCACUUGUUUAGAUGAGACAACUUGCACAUCAUCAUAACCUUUACUUAAGUAUAUGUGACAACUUAAUAUUUCAAGUUGUCACAGCAUGAAAAGCACAGGUGAAACCAAUGGGACUAGUUUAUUUAAAUGGAAUGCAGUCAUGUUUAAUGUUUUCAGCUACACCUGCAUGUUCCCUGCUAUGUCAAGCCAACAUGUCUGCUGUGAAAAUGAUUUAUUAGUACAUGCCAUUUGGUGACAAAUAUCAUUUCAUAUCAUAUUAAUUUACAUUGGGUGAAAUAUUCAAACCCAACACUUCAUGUUUUUACAGAUGCACCAUUCCAUCUAAACAAAAUAUUCUGGGUGUUUUGAAUGUCAUUUAAUCCUAAAAUACUGACAUAGUUCAUAUCUUAGGGAACUUUGGGCUCUUCACUAUAAUUUAUAUAUAGAUUUUUAAAGUUCUAUGGGAUUGAACACAGUUUGGGAGCACUGAAUGAGUUAAUGAAUAAUGCAGCAACUGUUGCUUGUUAAGGAGUUAAUAUG